UACGUAGGGGGCAAGCGUUGUCCGGAUUUAUUGGGCGUAAAGAGCGUGUAGGCGGCCAGACAGGUCCGUUGUGAAAACUCGAGGCUCAACCUCGAGACGCCGAUGGAAACCGUCUGGCUAGAGUCCGGAAGAGGAGAGUGGAAUUCCCGGUGUAGCGGUGAAAUGCGCAGAUAUCGGGAAGAACACCCGUGGCUAAGGCGGCUCUCUAGACGGUACGUGACGCUGAGACGCGAAAGCGUGGGGAGCGAACGAGGA
rnacentral:rRNA from 1 species